AUGUCACCGUCCAUCGCCUGGUGGUGCAGUGCGGCGCGCCCUUCCCUCCCGUCCGGUGCAAACUUCCCUCUAUGCCACCUCGACCUUCCUUCCCCUUCGGUGCAGCCUUCCCUCUGCUCCGGUGCGCCCUCCUACUCCUCCUCCACGUGCGGCAUGAACCUGGCCUUCGAUCGCAAGCUCAUCGGCCCGCCCAUAUACUUCACCCUCAUGGGCGACGGCCAGCCCAUCGGACGCUACGACGACAUGUGGCCGACUGGUGCGUCAAGGUGA
rnacentral:rRNA from 1 species